rnacentral:rRNA from 1 species
AACGAACGCUGGCGGCAGGCCUAACACAUGCAAGUCGAACGAGGACUUCCGUCCUAGCGGCGGUCCUGUGGUUACCGCGUGGUAACUUGCCCUUUGCUUCGGUAUCGUCCACUGAAACUUGACGUCAUACCGGUUGGGCUCAUUCGGGGUAAGAUCUAUUGGCGAAGGAUCGGCCCGCGUUGGUUUCGGUAGUUGGUGGUGUAAUCGCCUACCAAGCCGUCGAUGCAUAGCUGGUUUGUGAGGAUGAUUAUCCCCACUGGCAAUGAGACACGGCCCAGACUCCGACGGGAGGCAGCAGUGGGGAAUCUUAGACAAUGGGGGAAACCCUAAUCUAGCCAUGCCGCGUGAGAGAGGAAGGCCUUAGGAUUGUAAAGCUCUUUCAGCUGGGAAGAUAAUGACGGUAACAGCAGAAGAAGCCCCGGCUAACUCCGUG